GGCUUCGUGGAUCACGGUAAAUCACUUUCUGGGUAUUUCGCUGCAGCCUGGAGCUUCGCGAGAGAAAUGCGGGUUCGACUCCCGCCGAAGCCA